rnacentral:misc_RNA from 1 species
AACAAGGCGUACCUGCGGACCUGCGGAAGGAUCAUUACAAGUGACCCCGGUCUUACCACCGGGAUGUUCAUAACCCUUUGUUGUCCGACUCUGUUGCCUCCGGGGCGACCCUGCCUUCGGGCGGGGGCUCCGGGUGGACACUUCAAACUCUUGCGUAACUUUGCAGUCUGAGUAAACUUAAUUAAUAAAUUAAAACUUUUAACAAUGGAUCU